GCAAAAACAAAAACCUCAUGUUCCUUCAAGGAGACAUCAUUGAGAUGUAGUAUUAGUGUUUCUUUGUCCUCGCUGCUGUUAGAUUUUUUUUUUUUUUCAAGUUCAACCCAGCCGCAUCAAUUACUCAACAAGCACCUAUACUGACACGUUAUUUCUCCUCCUGUCUGCAGAGAAACCAAUGCCGCAGGGUCCCCCAGGUGGUGUUAUUGGGAUCCUUGGAGGUGUCGUUGCCAUUGGACUCAUCGUCGGCGUGGCUGUUACUGUUUUCAUGGUCCAUCGGCGGCAGCAGAAGACCCGCACUGAGACAGAUAAUGACCUGACCGACCUCCCACCCGCCCACAAACCGGCCCCUCCCCCGCCAAAAAAGAAGAACAGUGACAUGAAGGGACACUUGACAUCCGAUGACAUCCAGGUGGUUCAUCUCGACAAGGAGGAGGAAAUGCAGAAGCUUCCUCUUCAGCCUCCUUAUUACGACAUGGCGCCCUCUGAGUCGACCCCCUUCACUGAUAAGCCGGACACUGGGAGGCGUCCAGAAGAGCUGUUGAACCCAGCUGAAUACAUGAGCUACCAGCGCGUCUGCAACAUAGAACACCUCCCCGAGUCUCAGCCCGCUCCAGCCUAUCCUCCUGUUACUUUCUUGCCUCAGCACCCCUACACGCAGCACCCACCCAACGAGCCCAUGUACUCCAACACCAGCUUCUCCGCCCCUGGCCCUCGAGCACCGUUCACCUUCCCCAAGGAGCAAUCCGUGUGACAUGCCACACAGCUCUGCAAGAGGCAUCAUGAUAGUACCACAAACGCUUCAUGGAAAACAAAGCUCAGCUGAACGGAUGUGCAUCCAUUCCCACCUUGCUUCUGUUUAUUCUGUAAGCUUAAAACACGUGUGGGCUUCCCCUUGACAUGAUGAAAAUGUCUGUAACUUGUGGCCCUGAAUUCCCUGUGUAUUGUGCACUGCUUGUUCCACUGAGGCUGUCUGUAGGACCCAGCUCACCUUGUGAUGUUAGCAUAGGCGACACCAACUACCCUCUACCACUCCACCCUUCACCCCUCACGUGCCCACGCUUCCUGUUUGUUUUUUAUUGCCUCCUCACCUUUGAAUCAUUUGCUUUUUUGCCAACCUUCUUAACGGUGUACAGAAUAUGCCAUUGUAUCACUCAAGAUGUUAUUUUUCUUCUUCUACUUUUUUUCAUUUCCCACAGUGGUAGUGACCUUUUAUAGCAACGUGCUUCUUUUGUUUGUUUUCUGUUUGUCUGUCAAUCAUAUGCUUGCUUCUUUGAAAGUCGUAUACUAUACUGUAUGUGUGAUCGAGUGUGUUCUGGUGAAAAAAAAAAAAGACAAAUGCCAUUUGAUUUGUAAAGCAAAUUAUCAAUCUAUAAUGACAUGGACUACCCCUUUAAUGACAGUUAAUGACAGGGUUGUUAUGCGAAGAUGUAAAUUGGCAGUCUCUCAACUGAAUCCUUCAUUACUUUUCAUAAUAGCCUUGCUGUUAUGGAGUUUGACUGGAUAUUUCGGACUAUUAGAAGCGAAUGUUAUCCUCAUUAGCUAUGAAGAAAAACAAAGGGCUUGACAUCCAACAGUAUCUACUUUCUUCUAUUCCUCCAUGUACUAUUAUCCAUCAUCCAUCAUCCAGGUUAUUAUUACUUUUAUUAUUAUUAUUAUUAUUAUUAUUAUUAUUAUUAUUAUUAUUAUUAUUAUUAUUAUUAUCUACCAGUAGUUGCCAAAGACAUAUAGUUUCAUUCAGUUUUUAUCCAUUUGCUUUCAUGCCAGCGUUUACAUUAAAACUACCUUGUUUGAUGGGAAAUAAACAUAGUUGAUUGGCAAUGAGCAAAACCAUCCAAGUUUACAUUAUCGCUUGCCAUAUGCUGUAUUUUCCAUAUCUGUAUGUGAGUUCCUCGUGGAGGCUGGUUUGAGGCUCAUUGCACUGCGGGUCCUUUGUAUUUGUGCAGAGUUGUCAACCAACAGGAGCUGUUCUUUUUGCAGGUGCAAUAGGUGAAGACAAUCACAUACCUGGGUUGUCCUGGGAAGACACCAAUUAGAAUAGUUUCUAUACUCAUACUGAAAGGGAAGACUUUUUCAAGGACAGCCCACACAUUUAACAUAUUUAAAUAUUUUUUGGAGUAUGAUUUGUACUAAUAUAGCCGAAAUAGUUUCAAAUCAGCCUAAGAAACACUGAAGAGAAAAGCUUGCUACUGUAUUUUUUUAGAGAAUGCUUAGUUAUAUACGAUAGCGCUCCACUUAUUUUCAGAGUCCAUUUUACACUGUGACUGUUAAUUUCAGACCAUACAUAAGCUAAUGUGCUUGACGAGCCAAUUUCAGGAUACUGCCUCCUAGUCACAAGCCCUCUAGACACAGAAAAUUUGCAUAAACUGAAAGUUCACAUUUUUUGCCAUGUCAGAUGUAUGUUUGAAAAAAAAAAAAUUAAGAAAAUACUUGUGUUUGUGCUCAAUGUGAAAAAAAAAAUCCUUGAGGUGUUGAAGGUAAUUUAGUGUUUACUCUUAAUGGUGGUGGUUAAUGGGAUCGAGUAAAAAUUGUGAGACUUUCUCCUGUGCUCACUUUGUUGUCUUGCAAUGGCUCGAUAUGUGUGCUAGCAUUUAGUUUAAGCAGUGGUCUCGAACCACUGAAGGAGUUUAAUAUUGCUGUACCUGCUGUGCGAAAAAACACUGCAACACUAGUUUGUCUUUUUGUGACACAUUUACUAUUCAUGAGAUCCUUCCUUUUCAUUAUUUCAUUAUUAUUAUUACUAUUUUAAUUAUUAUUAUUAAUAAUAAUAUAUUUAUUAUUAUUAUUAUAAUUAGUAGGCUAUGUGUAAGUGCUAUGACUUGCUGCAAAAUAUGCUUAAUAUGGCAUUUACAUGUAUUUAUUACUGUCAAAUCCUUAUGUUUUCAGUCACAUUUAAUUAUUUCGAAUGUCCUGAAGAUGAUUGCCAUGUUUGUUUUUCACCCUCAACCUUGUUGUUUUGUGUUUUGUAAGACUGUAACAUUUAGUUUUUAUUUUUUUAAACAUAUACAUAUAUACAGACCUACAGCACAUUUCUUUUGACAUUUAUUGUACAUUUGUGGAAGGAUAAUACCUGAAUAAAUAUUAGGAUUUUGAGCUAUUUUUGUUGCCCAGGCUGAAAUAAUGAAAUGAUGUGAAACAAUUUAACCUGUUUGUUUUUUUUUUUUGUUUUGUUUUUUUUUAUUUGGAGUUAUGUUUGAUGUAAAUAUUAACAAUGUAUCUGAUGUGUGAAAAAAAAAAAGAAAUUAAGUCAUGCAGUUUAACAUUAAACUUCACAAAUUACCCAUUAUAGUUCUUGUUGUUCUAUUGUCAUUAUAUAUACUAUAACACAUGUAUGCAUGUUUCAAAAUGUAUUUUUUUUGGCCAUUUGGGGGCAG
rnacentral:lncRNA from 1 species